GAAAUGCGAUAAGUAAUGUGAAUUGCAGAAUUCAGUGAAUCAUCGAAUCUUUGAACGCACCUUGCGCUCCUUGGUAUUCCUUGGAGCAUGCCUGUUUGAGUAUCAUGAAAUCUUCAAAGUAAAUCUUUUGUUAACUCAAUUGGUUUCUACUUUGGUAUUGGAGGUCUUUGCAGCUUCACACCUGCUCCUCUUUGUUCAUUAGCUGGAUCUCAGUGUUAUGCUUGGUUCCACUCGGCGUGAUAAGUUAUCUAUCGCUGAGGACACUGUAAAAGGUGGCCAAGGUAAAUGCAGCUGAACCGCUUCUAAUAGUCCAUUGACUUGGACAAUACUUUUAUUAUCUGAUCUCAAAUCAGGUAGGACUACCCGCUGAACUUAAGC
rnacentral:misc_RNA from 1 species